UACGGAGGGUGCAAGCGUUAUCCGGAAUCACUGGGUUUAAAGGGUGCGUAGGCGGUUUAAUAAGUCUGUAUUUAAAUCCGAUUGCUUAACGAUGUGGAUGGUAUGGAUACUGUUAGACUUGAAUCAAGAUGAGGUUGGCAGAAUGUGACAUGUAGCGGUGAAAUGCUUAGAUAUGUCAUAGAACACCGAUUGCGAAGGCAGCUGACUAGACUUAGAUUGACGCUGAGGCACGAAAGCGUGGGGAUCAAACAGG
rnacentral:rRNA from 1 species